UGGGGAAUAUUGCACAAUGGGCGCAAGCCUGAUGCAGCCAUGCCGCGUGUGUGAAGAAGGCCUUCGGGUUGUAAAGCACUUUCAGCGGGGAGGAAGGCGUUAAGGUUAAUAACCUUGGCGAUUGACGUUACCCGCAGAAGAAGCACCGGCUAACUCCGUGCCAGCAGCCGCGGUAAUACGGAGGGUGCAAGCGUUAAUCGGAAUUACUGGGCGUAAAGCGCACGCAGGCGGUCUGUCAAGUCGGAUGUGAAAUCCCCGGGCUCAACCUGGGAACUGCAUUCGAAACUGGCAGGCUAGAGUCUUGUAGAGGGGGGUAGAAUUCCAGGUGUAGCGGUGAAAUGCAUAGAGAUCUGGAGGAAUACCGGUGGCGAAGGCGGCCCCCUGGACGAAGACUGACGCUCAGGUGCGAAAGCGUGGGGAGCAAACAGG
rnacentral:rRNA from 1 species